rnacentral:lncRNA from 1 species
AAUGGUGAUCCACACGAGACUGAUCAGGGCCUUUCCCAACUCAUCAUGAUGCUGCAGUCUUCUUCGUAAGUUUGCUGCCUUCCAUCCUUCACAAGAACAGGUUGCACAAUUGCUCGUAUGCCUUCAUGACCUCCACUAAGACCUCUUUAGGAACCCUUCCUUAAAAAAUCUCACUAUACACAAAUCAGAUUUUAUGUUCAACACAUGAACAAUCUGAUUUUUAGGACAAAUAUCUCAUACUUUCCUUUUUCUCUCUUCCUUUCCUUUCUAUUUUUCUCUCCUCUUUUACUUAUUUUUUUCUCAAAUUUUUCCCAUCAUUUUUCUCUCAUUUUCACACCUAACUACAGCCCAAAAAUUGGCACACCAACCUGGUCGUAGCGCCCCCUUUAAAUAGGAAACAAGGGGGGAUACCAUGGGAUGCCAACUCUUGGCAUCCCUUAACUCUUACACGCCAACAAUUAGUUUUUGCAUGGAAUCCAAGAGUAAGGUGUGAAAAUUAAAGAGGUUAACCAGUAGAAGGACUCUUCCUCUGCUUGGAAAAAAUUAAUACACCAACACUUGGCGCGUGGGAAAGGAUUUAGUGUGAGAAACUAAGAAUCCUUAACAAUUAAGACUCUUCCACAAACUCAACGCAUAUGAGGAAGAAUCCAAUUUAUUUUGGCGUUCAAACUACUCAUCAUCAGAGAAGGACUUUUCCUUCUCUUCUAUGCCCAUAAUUCCAAGUGCCAUCUCAUGUCACGAGGAAUUAAAAAAUACGUGGAGAAUAUGGAAGAAAUUAAGAGUCCAAUGUGAAAUGGACUCUCCAUUUUUCAUCAUCCAAAAAUAAGGGACGUCCCACAUUUAUUUUGGCAUGGAGUUCCUUCUCAGAGAAGGAC